UACGAAGGGGGCUAGCGUUGUUCGGAAUUACUGGGCGUAAAGCGCACGUAGGCGGAUAUUUAAGUCAGGGGUGAAAUCCCAGAGCUCAACUCUGGAACUGCCUUUGAUACUGGGUAUCUUGAGUAUGGAAGAGGUGAGUGGAAUUCCGAGUGUAGCGGUGAAAUGCGUGAGAUAUCUGGAGGAAUACCGGUGGCGAAGGCGGCAUCCUGGGACCGACAUUGACGCUGAACGGCGAAAGCUAGGGGAGCCGAAA
rnacentral:rRNA from 1 species